rnacentral:rRNA from 1 species
CUCCUGGAAACGGGUGGUAAUGCCGGAUGCUCCGGUUGGAUGCAUGUCCUUCCGGGAAAGAUUCUAUCGGUAUGGGAUGGGGUCGCGUCCUAUCAGCUUGAUGGCGGGGUAACGGCCCACCAUGGCUUCGACGGGUAGCCGGCCUGAGAGGGCGACCGGCCACAUUGGGACUGAGAUACGGCCCAGACUCCUACGGGAGGCAGCAGUGGGGAAUAUUGCACAAUGGGCGCAAGCCUGAUGCAGCGACGCCGCGUGCGGGAUGGAGGCCUUCGGGUUGUAAACCGCUUUUGAUCGGGAGCAAGCCCUUCGGGGUGAGUGUACCUUUCGAAUAAGCACCGGCUAACUACGUGCCAGCAGCCGCGGUAAUACGUAGGGUGCAAGCGUUAUCCGGAAUUAUUGGGCGUAAAGGGCUCGUAGGCGGUUCGUCGCGUCCGGUGUGAAAGCCCAUCGCUUAACGGUGGGUCUGCGCCGGGUACGGGCGGGCUGGAGUGCGGUAGGGGAGACUGGGAUUCCCGGUGUAACGGUGGAAUGUGUAGAUAUCGGGAAGAACACC